UACGACAAGUUGUCCAUUGUUUUGAGUUUGAGCUGACAUCUGAAUGAAAAUGAAACUGUUUCUUAUUUCCGUUCUUCUUCUUGUGUGUCUGGCCGUCUACACCGAGGCGUGCGGCUGUAGUAAGUGUAGCAGCUGUUGCAGCCACAGCAGUCACCACUCCCACCACAGCAAACACGGCAUCCCCAUCCCGAUCCCCUACCCCAUGUCUCACGGCAGCAGCGGCGGCAGUCACACCAACUUCCUCCCCAUCAUCCUCACCACAACCGGCUGAAAGUACAGAGGUGUACUGCACAAAUAGUUCCAACAUUCGGAGAAACGGAAGCUGGAGAUGUUCAUCUCUAAUAAAGUUUUAAAUCCU